GUGCUUAUUUUGUUAACCCACAUGCUAAAAUUAGAAUAAUACAGAGAUUAACAUCCCCUUUGCAUAAGGGUGCCAUGCAAAUUCAUGAAGUAGUCUUUAUUUUG
ensembl:snRNA U6 U6 spliceosomal RNA